UUGGAGCGUCUGCGUGGUCUGCGUGGUAAGGUGGAGGGGGGUAGCGUUAUGCUGAAGUACUGGGCGUAAAUGGUGCGUGGGCGUUUCUUUAUGUCGGCGUUGAAAUCCCCGGGCUCAGCCUGGGAAUGUCGGUGGAUACUGGCGAUCUAGAGUGUGUCAGAGGAUGGUGGAAUUCCCGGUGUAGCGGUGAAAUGCGUAGAGAUCGGGAGGAACAUCAGUGGCGAAGGCGGCCAUCUGGGACAACACUGACGCUGAAGCACGAAAGCGUGGGGAGCAAACAGGAUUAGAUACCCUAGUAGUC
rnacentral:rRNA from 1 species